UGCAGCUCCCCUGAUUAGGCUUUGAGGGACUGUCUCUGCAAAAGCAGAGGAAGGAAGGACCAUGCAGCUGUGUAGAGCUGGAAUUGAUCCCUAAGGCUGGACGUGGGGCGGGAAAGCCCCAGGGCACUAAGACAAAGGGGGAAGGCAUGAAUGCCACGGACGUAUGUGGAGAUCAGAGGACGGCGUUCACGAGUCCUUCAAAAACAGGAAGCCAGUCUUCUCCUAGCUGCCUUCAGAACAAGAGGCGG